UACGUAGGGUGCAAGCGUUGUCCGGAAUUAUUGGGCGUAAAGAGCUCGUAGGCGGUUUGUCGCGUCUGCUGUGAAAACGCGAGGCUCAACCUCGCGCCUGCAGUGGGUACGGGCAGACUAGAGUGCGGUAGGGGAGAUUGGAAUUCCUGGUGUAGCGGUGGAAUGCGCAGAUAUCAGGAGGAACACCCGUGGCUAAGGCGGCUCUCUAGUACGGUACUGACGCUGAGACGCGAAAGCGUGGGGAGCGAACAGG
rnacentral:rRNA from 1 species